UGGGGAAUAUUGCACAAUGGGCGAAAGCCUGAUGCAGCAACGCCGCGUGCGGGAUGACGGCCUUCGGGUUGUAAACCGCUUUCAGCAGGGACGAAGGUUUUCUGACGGUACCUGCAGAAGAAGCACCGGCUAACUACGUGCCAGCAGCCGCGGUGAUACGUAGGGUGCGAGCGUUGUCCGGAAUUAUUGGGCGUAAAGAGCUUGUAGGCGGUCCGUUGCGUCGGAAGUGAAAACUCAGGGCUUAACCCUGAGCCUGCUUUCGAUACGGGCGGACUUGAGGGAUGUAGGGGAGAACGGAAUUCCUGGUGGAGCGGUGGAAUGCGCAGAUAUCAGGAGGAACACCAGUGGCGAAGGCGGUUCUCUGGACAUUUCCUGACGCUGAGAAGCGAAAGCGUGGGGAGCAAACAGGCUUAGAUACCCUGGUAGUCCACGCCGUAAACGGUGGGCACUAGGUGUGGGACCCAUUCCACGGGUUCCGCGCCGUAGCUAACGCAUUAAGUGCCCCG
rnacentral:rRNA from 1 species